rnacentral:lncRNA from 1 species
UAAUUUAACACUAUCAACCCCAGGCAACAUACACACACCAAGUCAAAUCCCUAAUGAGAAGACAUGUCUCGAAGAUCAGUCUCUUAGUGGACAAAUCUGACCACAGUGGGUUCUUGGCUAGCUUAGCGUUAGCAUGCUGUCUGGGCAGAUGCUUGAAACCGAAGUUGUGUUAGCAGCAUGAUGCAAUUCUUCCUGUCCUCGAUGCAGUCUGUCACUUUACCAUUUAUCUUGUCCUGUUGUGCAGUAAAAAUAACUGUCCAUGCUCUAGACUGAAGCGCUAUUUUCCUCCUCUGACACGCGAACUGAAAUCAGGUGAUUGCAGAGCCUUCUGCAGCCUUCCAUAUCACAGUUUAUGGACACUUGUGCCGGACAGUACAGCAUGACUCAUCCACAGCAGAAAGCUAUCACAAAUGCGUGAUUAAGUGACUUGAUUAUUGGUCGCAACCUGCCCCUGUCUAUUGUGGAAAACAAGAAUUUUCAGCACUUUCUGGCAGUAGUUGACAGAAAAUACAGUAUGUCGCAGAACAAUUGUAUCAAAAACAGAGAUUGGUCUGGUCAGGAGUCUCCAAGCAUCGUUGAACAAAAGAUUUUUUGGGAUCUCUAUCAGUGUGCAAAAGGCUAGAGCAGAAGAUGGGCUCACUGCUCCCUUUUCAGAUCCAGUAUACCUUAAAGCAGCUGCUGUGGAUCCAGCAUUCUCUCUGUUGUGGGUGGAACACCAUGUGUUGGGCAGUUGUGACAUAAAGACAGAGGUGACACUAAAAGUUAAAGAUCUGAUCCUGCAAGAUGCUGCAGUCCUGCAAAGCCAGAGCAACCUGUGACUCCUGGUGAGGAACAUCAAGAAGACUGUGAAGAUGGAGGACUCUUUGCUGCUUAUUGUAAGAGGCAGAAGAAGGAUGUGGGGAACAGCAGCGCUACAGCUAACUUUAUGAUGAGAGAGAGAGAGGACAAGCUAAUCACACUGCACUAAAUUUACUGCGAUGGUUCAUUGUUUUGUACAGAAGGAAAUCUCAGCACUUUUUGUUUGAACAGGAAGUUCUACUUUUGCAUUUUUCACUGAAUGUUUAUUCUGUGAAUUUGUAGUUUAGAGGAAGACUAUUCUUGCAGCAAAGUUUAAUUGAGCUGUACAUUAUAGAGGUGCAAUUUCAGAAUUAGUUUGUGCAUAUCUUGUAAGUUCACUUGUUUCAUCAGGUGUUGAGAUAAAUACAGAUUUGAAAAAGAACACCUGGUCUGUUAUUUACAUUUAACAUA